AGUGUUGCUUAGUGGCUGCAUGGGGAUGAACUGGAGACAGAAAGCAGAAGCUGUAGGGAACUUGCUUCUAUCCACGGCACGCUCUGGCUAUGAUCAAGAUGUAGAACUCUCAGCUCCUUCUCCAGCACCAUGUCUGCCUGUGCACUGCAAUAUUUCCCUCCAUGAUGAUAAUGGACUAUAACUCUGAAACUGUAAGCCAGCCCCACGUUGAAAUACCUUGUUUAAAAAAUACCCAAGAGACCACAGUCUUCAUAGCAUCAAUAUUCAUCAUAGCUAAAACAUGAAAAUAAUCUAGGGGGCUGGAGAGAUGACUCAGCAGUUAAGAGCACUGACUGCUCUUCCAGAGAUCCUGAGUUCAAUACCCAUCAACCACAUGGUGUCUCACAACCAUCUGUAAUGAGAUGUGAUGCCCUCUUCUGGUGUGUCUGAAGACAGCUACAGUGUACUCAUCAUAUAUAUAUAAAACAAAUAAAUAAAAUCUUUUUUAAAAAAGUAA
rnacentral:lncRNA from 1 species